AGGACUCUCCCUCUAGCUUCAGAGGGAGAAGGACUAGCUGCCUGGGAGCUGAGGGUGCAGGCAACCAAGCAGGGCUGCGGAAAGGAGCUUAGGUGGGAAGGCUGUGAUGGUACAGAGGCAGAAAUGGCAAUGACUCAAGGAACAGAAGAAACAAUGAAGAUAGCUGGAUGUGGAAGCUGUGGGGGUGUACAUUUUCCUAGAAUUUUCUAUAGUCAUCAGUAAGAGCAACUCCAGCUUCAGUUGUGUGCAGAGAGAAGGGGGUGUGGAAAGCCUGAGUUUGAAUCAGGGCCGGCUCUACCGUUUUUGCCCCCCCAAGCAAUGAAAACUGUCACCGCCGAAUUGCCGCCACGGAUGGCAAGAGAGAGAGAAGCUGCUGCCGAAUUGCCAAUGUGGAAUGGAGAAGCUGCCACCGAAUUGCUGCUGUGGAACGGAGAAGCUGUGGCAGAAUUGCCACCGCAGCGGAAACUCUGCCGCCCCUUUCUGACUGCCGCCCCAAGCACCUGCUUGGAACGCUGGUGUCUGGAGCCAGCCCUGGUUUGAAUAUAUAAGCCUGAGUUUGAACUGUGGGCUUAUAUUGCAGUGUAGACGUACCCUUAGAUAGCUGGUAAUGGGUUCGAUGUUAAAAAUCUCAUUGUGUAGAAUUAUUGUAUCACUAGAUAGAACCGUUGUAGGUAACGUUACCAGUGCUCCUUACUGGCAUGUAUAGGUAGCUAAAUCUUGGAGAAAUGAUAAAUAUUGGCGUCUGGAAGAAGCUGGGAUCUCUCACCAGGGAUCUGUCUAAGGAAGUCAGACUGAGAGAGAAAGACAGAGCCUGAAAAUGGAGUUUCCCUACAGCUUGGCUCUGGGCUCUGGACUGACCAGAAUAGACUAUGCUUCAACCUUCAUUCUCUAUGCUUCUCUAAGGACUUCCUAUGCUGUGUUCCUGUUGACUAAUAAACCUGACUGUUUUGACAACGCUGUUUGAGUGUCACUGUAAAUACUUGGUGAGGUGCUUGGUAAUGCACUUGGUAACCCCUGAACAGUAUACAAGUCUCUACCAGGAGUCUAUUUCACUUGGACUUGCUGAAGAGAGCUCACGGUGUGAAGAAGGCAUGCUUGAACCCAGAGGUACAGUCGCAGCAGGCAGCAAGGCCAUGUGGCCUAUCCUGAAGAAAGAGUGAGACCCACUGGGGGUCAGGCACAUGGAAGGAGUUCCUUCCAAAGCUGGGGGUGUAGCACUGAUCCUCUGGAUCCAUAAGAAUGGGGGUGGUAGUGGUGGUUCAAUUAUUGUUAGAAGCUGUGCAUGUCAUCAGUAAAAUAUGAUCUUUUCCCAAGUUUGUGACCCAGAAUCAUUUCUUAUAUGCACGGGUAUUGACUAGAAUAAAUAAAAACAUUAUAUGGUGCUAAAACAUUACUACAUAUUGUAGGGUUGUUUCCCCUCCAUGAUCGUAGAAAUUAUCUGGACCAUGUUGGUUCUGAGGAGUCUGGGCUGUAAAGAAGACCUGGUCAGUAUUUGGCCCAAGGAUUUUUUAAAAGCUUAGAUUUGACUAAAGAGUACCCCUUUAAAAGAACACUGUCAAGUUUUAUAGGCCCACUUUUUGACCUACUUUUUGUUUUUUUUUAAAACCCCAUGUGAAUCAUG